AUUGAACGCUGGCGGCAGGCCUAACACAUGCAAGUCGAGCGAGCGGCGGACGGGUGAGUAAUGUCUGGGAAACUGCCUGAUGGAGGGGGAUAACUACUGGAAACGGUAGCUAAUACCGCAUACCAUCAGAUGUGCCCAGAUGGGAUUAGCUAGUUGGUGGGGUAACGGCUCACCUAGGCGACGAGCCCUAGCGGGUCUGAGAGGAUUACCAGCCACACUGGGACGGAUACACGGUCCAAACUCCUACGGGCGGCAGCGGUGGGAAAUAUUGCACAAUGGGCGCAAGCCUGAUGCAGCCAUGCCGCGUGUGUGAAGAAGUCCUUCGGGUUGUAAAGCACUUUCAGCGGAGAGGCGUUACCCGCAGAAGAAGCACCGGCUAACUCCGUGCCAGCCGCCGCGGUAAUAC
rnacentral:rRNA from 1 species